rnacentral:rRNA from 1 species
UGGGGAAUAUUGGACAAUGGGCGCAAGCCUGAUCCAGCCAUGCCGCGUGAGUGAUGAAGGCCCUAGGGUUGUAAAGCUCUUUCACCGGUGAAGAUAAUGACGGUAACCGGAGAAGAAGCCCCGGCUAACUUCGUGCCAGCAGCCGCGGUAAUACGAAGGGGGCUAGCGUUGUUCGGAUUUACUGGGCGUAAAGCGCACGUAGGCGGACUUUUAAGUCAGGGGUGAAAUCCCGGGGCUCAACCCCGGAACUGCCUUUGAUACUGGAAGUCUUGAGUAUGGUAGAGGUGAGUGGAAUUCCGAGGGUAGAGGUGAAAUUCGUAGAUAUUCGGAGGAACACCAGUGGCGAAGGCGGCUCACUGGACCAUUACUGACGCUGAGGUGCGAAAGCGUGGGGAGCAAACAGG